rnacentral:rRNA from 1 species
AGUAUCGCGUAUCCAACCUUCCCUCCACUCGGGGAUACCCCGUUGAAAGACGGCCUAAUACCCGAUGUUGUCCACAUAUGGCAUCUGACGUGGACCAAAGAUUCAUCGGUGGAGGAUGGGGAUGCGUCUGAUUAGCUUGUUGGUGCGGGUAACGGCCCACCAAGGCGACGAUCAGUAGGGGUUCUGAGAGGAAGGUCCCCCACAUUGGAACUGAGACACGGUCCAAACUCCUACGGGAGGCAGCAGUGAGGAAUAUUGGUCAAUGGACGUAAGUCUGAACCAGCCAAGUAGCGUGCAGGAUUGACGGCCCUAUGGGUUGUAAACUGCUCUUGUUGGGGAGUAAAGUGAGGCACGUGUGCCUUUUUGCAUUUACCCUUCGAAUAAGGACCGGCUAAUUCCGUGCCAGCAGCCGCGGUAAUACGGAAGGUCCAGGCGUUAUCCGGAUUUAUUGGGUUUAAAGGGAGUGUAGGCGGUCCGUUAAGCGUGUUGUGAAAUUUAGGUGCUCAACACCUACCUUGCAGCGCGAACUGGCGGACUUGAGUGCACGCAACGUAUGCGGAAUUCAUGGUGUAGCGGUGAAAUGCUUAGAUAUCAUGACGAACUCCGAUUGCG